UAAUACGUAGGGUGCGAGCGUUAAUCGGAAUUACUGGGCGUAAAGCGUGCGCAGGCGGUUAUGUAAGACAGAUGUGAAAUCCCCGGGCUCAACCUGGGAACUGCGUUUGUGACUGCAUAACUAGAGUACGGCAGAGGGAGGUGGAAUUCCACGUGUAGCAGUGAAAUGCGUAGAGAUGUGGAGGAACACCGAUGGCGAAGGCAGCCUCCUGGGCCAGUACUGACGCUCAUGCACGAAAGCGUGGGGAGCAAACAGGAUUAGAUACCCUGGUAGUCCACGCCCUAAACGAUGUCAACUAGUUGUUCGGUGAGGAGACUCAUUGAGUAACGCAGCUAACGCGUGAAGUUGACCGCCUGGGGAGUACGGUCGCAAGAUUAAAACUCAAAGGAAUUGACGGGGACCCGCACAAGCGGUGGAUGAUGUGGAUUAAUUCGAUGCAACGCGAAAAACCUUACCUACCCUUGACAUGCCAGGAACUUGCCAGAGAUGGCUUGGU
rnacentral:rRNA from 1 species